rnacentral:rRNA from 1 species
AGUGAACGCUGGCGGCAGGCCUAACACAUGCAAGUCGAACGGCAGCACAAGAGAGCUUGCUCUCUGGGUGGCGAGUGGCGGACGGGUGAGGAAUGCAUCGGAAUCUGCCCAUUUGUGGGGGAUAACCUCGGGAAACCGGGACUAAUACCGCAUACGACCUACGGGUGAAAGCAGGGGAUCUUCGGACCUUGCGCAGAUGGAUGAGCCGAUGCCGGAUUAGCUAGUUGGAGGGGUAAAGGCCCACCAAGGCGACGAUCCGUAGCUGGUCUGAGAGGAUGAUCAGCGACAUGAGGACUGAGACACGGCCAAGGCGCCUGAGGGAGGGAGCAGUGGGGAACAUGGGACAGUAGGCGCAAGCAUGAUCCAGCCAUGCCGCGUGUGUGACGAAGGCCUUCGGUUUGGAAAGCACUUUUGUUGGGAAAGAAAAGCAGCCGGUUAAUACCCAGUUGUCAUGACGGUACCCAAAGAAUAAGCACCGGCUAACUUCGUG